rnacentral:rRNA from 1 species
GAACGGACGAGAAGCUUGCUUCUCUGAUGUUAGCGGCGGACGGGUGAGUAACACGUGGAUAACCUACCUAUAAGACUGGGAUGACUUCGGGAAACCGGAGCUAAUACCGGAUAAUAUUUUGAACCGCAUGGUUCAAAAGUGAAAGACGGUCUUGCUGUCACUUAUAGAUGGAUCCGCGCUGCAUUAGCUAGUUGGUAAGGUAACGGCUUACCAAGGCAACGAUGCAUAGCCGACCUGAGAGGGUGAUCGGCCACACUGGAACUGAGACACGGUCCAGACUCCUACGGGAGGCAGCAGUAGGGAAUCUUCCGCAAUGGGCGAAAGCCUGACGGAGCAACGCCGCGUGAGUGAUGAAGGUCUUCGGAUCGUAAAACUCUGUUAUUAGGGAAGAACAUAUGUGUAAGUAACUGUGCACAUCUUGACGGUACCUAAUCAGAAAGCCACGGCUAACUACGUGCCAGCAGCCGCGGUAAUACGUAGGUGGCAAGCGUUAUCCGGAAUUAUUGGGCGUAAAGCGCGCGUAGGCGGUUUUUUAAGUCUGAUGUGAAAGCCCACGGCUCAACCGUGGAGGGUCAUUGGAAACUGGAAAACUUGAGUGCAGAAGAGGAAAGUGGAAUUCCAUGUGUAGCGGUGAAAUGCGCAGAGAUAUGGAGGAACACCAGUGGCGAAGGCGACUUUCUGGUCUGUAACUGACGCUGAUGUGCGAAAGCGUGGGGAUCAAACAGGAUU